rnacentral:rRNA from 1 species
CGGGGUGAGUAACGCGUGGGCAACCUGCCUUACACAGGGGGAUAACACUUAGAAAUAGGUGCUAAUACCGCAUAAGCGCACAGCUUUGCAUGAAGCAGUGUGAAAAACUCCGGUGGUGUAAGAUGGACCCGCGUCUGAUUAGCUGGUUGGCAGGGUAAAGGCCUACCAAGGCGACGAUCAGUAGCCGGCCUGAGAGGGUGAACGGCCACAUUGGGACUGAGACACGGCCCAGACUCCUACGGAAGGCAGCAG